GGGAGCAGUAAGUGUGUGACGUCGGGGUAGGACGGAGUGACCCAAAUUCCAAAAGCUCUUUGGGGUGCUGCGAUGUCGCGGCCCGCCCCGCGCUCGAGUUUUCCCUCCUAGACAAAAGUCGGCGCCGGGGCGGGGAUCCGGAAGGUGAAGGCCGCCAGGCCCCACCCGCGGGGCGCCCCUGCUGGACCUGGCCGUCGGGCGCCGUCAACCCGCUGAGCAGCGUGUUCCGGCUGGCACUUGGCCCGGGCGGGGCUCAGGAUUGGUUCAAGCCUACGGGGUUGGUCCCCGGAGAGUCUAGGGAGACAAGCAAUCCCCUGGAAUGGUGGGGGAAGCGAUGACAGCCCCUGGUCCUCAUCCGCAGCUCUGGGGGAAGGGGGUGGGGUGGGGAGGGCAGGUGUUGCUCCCUGAGUGUUGGGGGAAGGGGAUGGGGAGAGGACCCUGAACUGGCCCCCGGGUUACCCAGGAGGAGCUGAGGCCCAGAGAGGUUCAGCGACUUGCCCUCCGAGGCCUGGGCUUCCAGCAGGGAGAGACGCGGACACCUGUCAUCGCUUCUCGGUGGAUCCCUAAAAUGUUGAGUUGUGGAGUCUGGGAGCUGAAAUCGGCCAGGGCUGGUUUCUUGUAGGCCCAGGCCUCCGCGUAGAGGGCCAAGGGCCAAGUGAUGCCCAAGGUUCACCUGGCAGCCCCCUCCCUGGACCUACCCCUCCUUAUGAUUGGGUGAAGGGUUGGGUGAAAAGGGUAGAGACCGGGAAUGAGAACAGCUUCAGAAAGUUCAGACAAAGGGAGCAGCAUGAUUCGUGGCUGGAAGGAGACAGCAAGCGAUAGACUGAUCCUUGAAUUUGUUAGGUGUGCCAGGAAGUAUUAAUAGACUGUGGGUGACACAUUAUCCAUAUUGCUUUAGUUGGUCUAACCACAAUAAGCAAAUAGCUUUUUUGUUUCUAAGAGAAACCUGACAAGGGAAGACAGGGUAUUUUUUUUUUUUUACAGUGAAGGAAAUAGAAAUAUUUGGAGUUGUAUCUAAGCCACUUGUUAUUUUUGUGUUUUAAGCUAAGAUCAUGGAUAGGUCUAGGAAAAGUUAAAAAUUUCCCGCACUUCAUAGAUUUUAAGCCCCUCAAAAACAUCCCCAUCUUGUUGGCUUUUGCAGUUCAACCUUCAUAUACCAGCUGCCUCGUUUCUAAUAUUGCAUCAGGUGUACAUAUGGCAGCACAACAAAUAGCUUACUGAUACUUUCAGCUUUUUUCUUCUCAUUUGCCAAAGGCUCUAUGAAAAUGGCUGGCUUGGGCAUGUAAUUGAAGGGAGGUGGGGAAAAGUGGUAAUUCAGAGGCAGUGGGUGGGAAUGAGCAGGGCAGAUUAGGGUGGUUCACCCUCUUGACUCCCACCUCACCACAGCCCUUCUGCUACUAUUGCAGAUUGACUCUAAGUAUGUUUCUUUCCUAAAGAGCUUGAAUUUUAUCACUCCAGGUAUGAAGUUGAGGCAGCUGCCAGUAUAUUUUGGCAGUCAGGUUCUGUGAUAUCAGAGAGGAUGGUGAAUUGUGAAUUCUAGAGUUGCAGAAUUGUUCUUUAGAUUCUGAUUUUUUAAAUGACAGCACUUUGGUUUGGAGGGUUAAUGACUUACCCCAGGUCAUAUGCCACACCAUGGGUACCACCAAGAGUAGAGCUCAGAUCUCCAGUUGUCCCGGUCCUCAGGCUACUGAUCUUUAUUCCCUGCCCUGCUAUCUUGGACUGACUGCAUUUUGCCCUGGAUGUCACUAGCCUGUAUCCUUCAGGUUGGCACGUCCGGUCAUGGAAGGAGAGAGAUUUAACAUAACAACAAUGGCUGACAUUCAAUGCUUUCUGUGUGCUGGCCAUGGUGCUUAGUGUUUACAGUCUAAUCUGCAAGAGAAUUUACAGAUGGGCAAGUUGAGGCUGAGAGAGGCCAAGUGACUUGUCCAAGGUCACACUGCUAGUGAACAUAGCACAUGUUUUCCAGAGGGCCAGACCACUGGAUGUUUUUUCAUUCAUUCCCUCCUGUAGGAUCGUUGGACAUAUUUCUCGUUCUUGAUUUUGGGAAUCAAUAUUCUACAUACAUCAAUUCACUGGGUAUGCAGUUUUGCCUCAGAAAAUUUUGGGGGAACAGCCAGACUCAUCUACUAUAUUUGUAUACAACUCAAUUAAAACAGGAAUUGUAAAAAUAAAAUUUAUAAGAUCUGUAACAUUUUAAUAUACAACAUAACUAAUCACUAAGAUUAUUAGAGAUACUCAAAGUGAAAAUUGUAGCAGCAGGUUAUAACAUGUUAGGAAGAUAUUUCUUUAGGGCAGUCAGAAUCUGCUGCUUCUUAAAGACAAGUGAGCCAUUUACACAUGAAGGUAACAAGCACAUUCAGCCACCAUCAUUAUAGUUAAACAGAUCUAUGAUUUAAAUUCCUAUCACUACCUUAUCUGACUUUGAAAAAGUCAUGGGGAAAACUUGGCUACCUUGUGCCAACUGCUAGCUUGUUUUCAAGAUAUUAUAAUCUUGAAUAGAUGGGGGAUGAACUUUUUAUACUUAGAUAGCUUUGUAAUUGAAAGUUUAUAUAAAAACAUCUUGCCUGAAGUUCAUCUUAUCCCCAUUCUAAAGGCCUUUGAAAUUUUCAGCCACUUUUCUUACGGUAAGUACAUUUCAAGAAAAGUGUUUCCCUGACUUUUGAAUGCAAAGCUCUCUGCCUGUGUCAGAAUGGUGCCGAGGUUAAAGCCCUGGAGCCAGACUGGAUGGGUUCAAAUCCCAGGCCCACCUGUGAGACCCUCGAUGUGUUACUUAAAUUUUAUUUCCCCCUUUCUAAAGUGGAGGCCGUAAGCAGUUUUAUGGGGUAGUUGUGAGGGCUAAAUGCCUUAACUCAUCUAAGCACUUUAGCCACUUUUUCGUGUCUGACACAAAAAAGUUAAGCUAUGAUUAUUGCGCUAUAAAGCAUUGGAUUUCAGAAAAAGUAGGGGCACUAAACACCAUCUGCUUGACACCUUUCUUCACUUACAGAUGGGACUGAAGCCCUAAGGGAAGUCACUUACCAGAGGGUGUAGGUUCUUCAUCCAGAGCUCAAGUCUUCUUGGGAUCAGACCUUCCAGCUCCCUGGACCUGACCUUCCAGCUGCCUCUCAUGUACUCGUCGGGGGCUUGUGUUGAUAAGGAGUGAAUUCACAGUCUACCAUGAAUUGGAAGGUUCUUGAGCACGUGCCCCUGCUGCUAUAUAUCCUGGCAGCAAAAACAUUAAUUCUCUGCCUGGCAUUUGCUGGAGUGAAAAUAUACCAAAGAAAAAGGUUGGAAGCAAAACAACAAAAACUGGAGGCUGAAAGGAAGAAGCAAUCAGAGAAAAAAGAUAACUGAAGCCUCUGCCAAGCCAAGCAGCCAGCUCCUAGGACUCCCCUCCCUCCACCUGAGGCUCCUUGUCCUCCCUUCCUCGGGAGUCUCCAGCCUCCUGGGGCUUCCCCUCCCUGCUGUCCGCUCCAGCAGAGGCUGCCAACCGCCUGGGAGAGAGAAGCGGGCUUCCUGGGGCCACCUCCCCAACUUUGGAGUGUUCGGAAGGUGAUGGAGCGACCACCAGGGGGCAGUGUGGACAGGUCUCCAUAAGACUGAUCAGCUCCUGGUUUGUUAAGGCAAACCCCCAUCUCUGGCUUCUCCUGGAACCUCACCUGGGAAAGAAGGAGGCAGCCCCAGAGCUGGAAGCUGCUUCAGGGCUCACCCGGAACAGCAGACUCAACCUGGGCCCAUCCAGGCAUCUCCUGGGAGCUUCACACAAUUGCUUCUGCCUGGCACCAGCUCAGAGGUUCUGACAGAAUUGGCCUGGGGUGAGGCCUGGCAUCCAUGGGAUUUUUACAAGCUUCCAGGUGAUUCUACAGGGAAGCCAAGGAGAUGCGUCCUUCAUAAAACUCUCAUCAACACUGUUCAGACAUGUCCCACCCCAGCAGGGGACAGCCUAGGCUCAAGCUGGGAUCCCUACUUUAUUUAUUUUCUGCUAAUUAAACUUCCUAAUAUACUCCACACUAAGUGCGUUUGCAAGGCAGGGGGUGUGGGAUAAGCGGCCCUGCCUGGCUGGGAGAGGGGCAGCUCCCUGCUGUACUAUAUAUUAAUAAAGAGACACAUGCAUGGCAGGGCUUGUCUGGGCCUUGGUGACAGCUUUGGACAGAAGGCACGUGACAAUCAGGGGUUCAAACAACCCAGGGAGAACACUGCUUCAGGGAAGACAGCUCAGCAUCUCCCCGGCAAAGAAUAAUGACAUUGAUAAUACUCUCCAAAGAAUUUCAGGAUUUUGAGCAAACAGAAAAGCAACACAGAAAUUCAUAUCAUCAAAACGAUGUGGCUUUAUUGGACACUUAAGACAUUUACUGGAGGCUCAACAACAUAAUCCUGCUGGUUGGCUUUACUUCAUUGAUUUUCCAUUGUGUCUAAUUACAUUGCUAAUGCUGAUGGUGGAUGAGCUACGGCUCUUUUCCUGCCUGCCCUGAGGUUUAUCCACUGAUGUUUCAGUUCUGUUGUAAGAUAUUGUCCUAAGCCCCCAACAUCUCAUGCAUGCUGGUUUUUUUUUUUUUUUUUUUUUUUUUUUUUAAAAAAAAAAGAGUUCAUAGCCCAUGGAAGACUCUCCUCCAUCACACACUGAGGUUCCCUCCACACCAGGCCUGAAAGGAGUCUAGCUUGUGGGGACUGUACACAUGCUGUGGACCAUGCAGAACCUGGAGAGGCCAUGACCCCUUCUAGAAGUGAUCUGCCCUGAAUCCUUCCCUCUGUAGGAGGCAUUUAUUAAAUGCCAGGUUCCUGGAAGGCUCUGAGAUGGGCAUUCCCUCUCCUGAGCCCUCCCUUCCAUUACUGCUUUCCUAUUUCUGGCCAGGGUUCCCUGGCCCCUCCUCCCUGCUCCCAUGGGACUCCAGUUCACCUCCAUCUCUGCUCAAUUGCCCUGCACCGUAAUAGUCCAUUGGCACUCCGUCUUCUCCAGGAGAAAUAGUUGGAGGAGAAGUUUUUAGGGUUUCUUGGGCCAGGGCUGGUCUAUGGUCACUGGGCAGCAGGAAACGACCCUUAAGGGCCUAGGAGGGCCAAGGCUGGUGGGCAGGUACAGGGGGAGCCAGCACUGCUGUCCACCACUGUGCAGCCUGGAGGCUGUUUCCCAUGACCUUGCUGAUGGGACCCAAGGCACCCCAGGCUGCCCACUGCCCUGCCCCCAGCAGGCUCUCAGCGCCCCGGCUUCCCUGCAUGCCUGCCUGACAUGGACAGUGCACCUUCAGGCCACACUUGCCCUGCCAGCAAGCCUCCAGUGAACCGGGAACUCCACAAAGCAUAGAGGACUCGCCCCAACACUGUGCUGAGAGGCUUCACCAAACUGUAGCCUGGCUUCUACCUGCGCUAAGCUGCAUCCCCAAAGGCGACCCCAGCCCUGGCUGAGUCUUGGCUCAAGACUUUGCAAUGCAGCCAAACCACAAAAUGCACCUCUUCCAGCCCACCCCGCUAAACCAUUUUCAGUAGUUAUCCCCUCACCCUUCUGGAACUUUCCAUUUCUAUGUGGCCCCCCACGUUCCGUUUUCAUUUCCUCCUUCAGUCCCUUUUUGUUCCCUUUCUGUUCUCUCUUUGAAGACCUUGGUCACCGUUUUCUCAGUUGGGGUUGAGCUUCAUCGGUACUGGAAUCUCUCCCCUCUGCUGCAGGAGUCUGAAGGAAUCAGUCUUGCCGCCUGUAACACAUGUCCAGCGCUGCUUUUUCUCUGAUGAGUGUCUUAGUCAGUUUGGGCUGUUAAAACAAAUGGCUUAGGCAACACACGUUUCUGUCUCACAGUUCUGGAAGCUGGAAGUCUGCGAUCAAGGUGUUAGCAGAUUUGGUACCCGGUGAGGACCUGCUUCCUGGUUCAUGGGAAGAAUACUUUUUGCUGUGUCCUCACAUGGUGCAGAGAGAGAGGGGGGUCUGGUAUCUCUUCCUGUAAGGGCGCUGAUCCCAUCAUGGGGACCCUACAAUCGCGACCUCAUCUAAACCUCCCGAAACCUCAUCUAAAUCUCAUCUCCAUACUAUCACAUUGGGGAUUAAGGCUUUAACGCGUGUAUUUCAGGGGACAAAGGACAAAAGCAUUCAGUCCAUGGCACAUGCUCAGUGCCUUGACUCCUGCAAGUGCCACACCACAGCCUCGCCGGGGCUGUGUCCUGGAGGUGUGUGCCAUGGGCCCUGUGUGCCAUGGGCAAGGCACACAGCAACCUCCCAGCCACCCCACCAGCGAGUGAGCUCCUGGCACCUUGGCUCUCCCUGGUCACCCAUCUACCAGUCUUUGUGCUCCUGUGCACUAGAGGACCAGCUGCCUGGGGACUGUGGGCCAACUGUGGCCCCGGCUACCUGUGAACUUCCCCUCCAGCCAGUGGCUGCAAUCACAUCUUCUCUAAAGACGUCUGAAGCCCAGCCUUGCGGAGCCGAGUUGGUCCUUCCCUGGGUACUGAGCCCUAGGGAACCCUUGAGAGUUCUCUUUGUAUCUUUAUAGUUUCUUCCUCACCACUUAAUCAUUUCCUUACAGGAAACUUCCUCUGUUCAAGUGACUGUAUGGUUUCUGCCUCCAGCUUCAUUUGUGGAUGCCAUAAGAGAGGCAAGCAUGGAGCACUAGGCGCAGGGGAUGGGCAACUGGCAAGCAGGGAGAUGCAUGCAGCACACUUAGUGCCUGGUACAUACGAAGUCCUUUUAGUCUGGAUUUCAUUAUUUUUAAAUGGGUAUUGCUAUUUUUUUUUUUUUUUUUUUUUUUUGAGACGGAGUCUCGCUCUGUCGCCCAGGCUGGAGUGCAGUGGCGCGAUCUCGGCUCACUGCAAGCUCCGCCUCCCGGGUUCACGCCAUUCUCCUGCCUGGGUAUUGCUAUUUUUAAAGGAACAGUUACAAAUAUUUAUUGUGUGUUUUGAAACAAGUGGGUCAAGAUCAAUAAGAUAUUUUUGAUCAAUUGAUCAAUAAGAUAUCUUUUAUUCCUAAAAAUCAUAUUCUUCUGGUUCAGUGGGGAAGAGACUGCCGACCUGUAUUUACAGCAUUAUGUGAUAAGCGUUCUCCUUUUCAGGUGUGUGUUAGUCUGUUCUCAUGCUGUCAGUAAAGGCAUACCUGAGACUGGGUAAUUUAUAAAGGAAAGAGGCUUAAUUGACUCCCAGUUCCUCAUGGCUGAGGAGGCCUCAGGAAACUUACAAUCAUGGCAGAAAAGGAAGCAAACAUAUCCUUCCUCCGCAUGAUGGCAGGAAGGAGAAGUGCAGAGCAAAGUGGGGAAAGCCCCGUAUAAAACCAUCAGAUCUUGUGAGAACUCAAUUACUAUCACCAGAACAGCAUGGAGGUAAUUACCUCCCACCUGCUCCCUCCCACGACACGUGGGGAUUAUGGGAACUAUAGUUCAAGAUGAGAUUUGAGUGGGGACACAGGCAAACCAUAUCAAGGUGCCUCCUGCAAGCACCUACCUCCACCCCUCCUUCAUCCUUGCCCUCAUUCUAUAAUGAUUUGGUGAAAUCUGGUCCCUGCUUCAGUUUUACAGCCUCCCCAUGACUCUGGUUACUUCCUGAUUAGUUUAAACAAAACAUAACUAGGUUACUCUAGGAAAGCAUUUCUGUUCCUGACACCCCCCAUCUGCCUGCUGCUUCCACUCCACCUGUGUGUGUCUGGGCACAUCCCUGCGUCCCUUUGCUGGCUUCUAGCCCACUCACUUCACGUGUUUAAACCAUGAGUUUCAUAAAAUCGAAGAUCAGGGCUUGAGGCAGUGGUGGGGAAAUGAUAGGAAAGACAUUUCUGGAUGCAUUCUGCCAUCCUGCAGAUCCCUAAACCACCUCUGCCUCUCCAUUCCCUCCCUCCAGAGACCAGCUUCUCCUUGUCUCCUGUGGAAUAGUUCCACCCACAUUCAUGGGCCCUUCCUGUACCAAAACUGUACAGGUCUCAUUUCCUUACCAAACACUUGGCAAACAAAUGUACCAUCCUUGCAAAAAUUCUGUUGAAUAAAAUUUUCUCUCUUUGAUCCAUCCAAAUGUUUUACAAAGUGCUACAGAAGCCAUGGAGAAACAAGCAGUUCUGCCUUACAGAUCACGAAGGUUUCACAGAGGGGGUGAUAUCUGAGCAACAGUGCUUUUUUGUUUGUUUGGUUGGUUUUGAGAUGGAGUCUCGAUCUGUCGCCCAGGCUGGAGUGAGAUGGCACAAUCUCGGCUCACUGCAACCUCCGCCUCCCAGGUUCAAGUGAUUCUCCUGCCACAGCCUCCUGAGUAGUUGAGAUUACAGGCGCCUGCCACCAUACCCCGCUAAUUUUUGUGUUUUUUAGUAGAGACGGGGUUUCACCAUGUUGGCCAAGCUGGUCUCGAACUCCUGACCUCAAGUGAUCUGCCCACCUCGGCCUCCCAAAGUGCUAGGAUUACAGGCAUGAGCCACAGUGCCCAGCCAACAGUGCUUUUAAUUGGCAUUUUCUUCAAAGACUUUGAUGUCCUAUAGGAAGGGGCCCAUGACUCAGCCUCAGCCAAUCAGAGCACUCCAUUCACUGGGUCACCUACACACCUGCUCUUCCCUGAUCCACUGCAAUGCCCUCACCCUGAGAUCUGAAACUUGAGCAGAGGUACAAAGCGGCAGACAUGGGGGCUGAGCUGUCUUUUGGGAGAAUCCUAGUGAGAAGGUUCUUUAACUGGGGCCGCCAAGUAAGGGCCUCAUGGCAGACUAACCCCUCUCCUUCCUGAGGCUGGGAGGAGCUGCUGUCCUUUUGAUUCUGUGAGCUACCUCAGUUGCCUUCCCCAAAAUCACACACACACACACACACACACACACACACAUACACACACACACACUUGCAUGCGCUAGGUAGAGCUGUUUUCUAUAAUUGCCAACAGAAGACUAACUGUAUUUGAAGAAUGAGCUGGCAUUCUUCUGCUCUGGUAGAAGUCAAGGCAAUCAGUUAUGAGAAUCAGAGCCCACCUGUGACUCCAGAAAGAGGUGCAUAAAUACCAGGCAUUUAGUCUCUAAAGUCUUUCUUUAAGUCCCUUUUUAAAAAAUGUGAUGAGUACAUCACCCAGGAAAAUCUAAUUGUAAUGCAACAGAGUCGAUGCAAGUUUUAUUUAGGAGAUGGGUUACAAUCACCUGGGGAAGCUCUAGUUACCUUGAUUUGGUUUGGUACAAACCCUGGUACCAUCAGCCACAGAUCCCCAGAGGAAGUCAUUCCUGGAUGACUUCCUCAUCGAUUUUAAAUAAUUUCCAUUUCAGAGGAAGGCCUUUAUCUGACCUGAUCCCCUAAAUAUUGGGAGAAACUUACAUAGGGACAAAGACAGUAGGUGUCUGGAAUGUGGAGAAUCAGUGUGUUCUGUCACUGUCUCUAUCAGGGCUGGUGGCACAUGCAAAUCUCUUUCCCACUCUCCGGCUGAACACUAACACCACGGUGCCCACACCUUCCUUAUUAGUCCAUGUACAUAGGGUUUGUCAAGACAGUGGUUCAUGGCUCUGACCCUGAGCAUGUCAGAUUUCAGGGGCUUUAUGCAAAAUAUCCAUACCACUUGGGGUCAUUUCCCAUCAGUAUUGCUCACAAUGGAGCCUACAAACCCCUAGUUCCCAUCCAACACAUCUCCAAGGCAAACUCUCAGACCAGCUCCCAGAAAGGAGGUGAGUUUAGAUCAGGCAGCAGAGACGUGGCCUAGGAAGGCGUCCUUGGAGCUCAUGCACCUGUGUCUGGGUGCCAACAAGAAGAUGGUGGCUUUUGCUCUUUGGGAGAUACCUUUGGAGCCAGUCUCUGACCGCAUGUCUAACAGGACGGGCAUCCUUGGAGUUUCCAUGGCAGUCUACUGACAGUCAGGAGUGAGGAUUAAAUGGUACAGAGUCUCACUGAGUGCUCUUUGAGAGGACAAGCAAUGAGAAGUCCUACAAAUGAUCAUUGAGCUGAAGUAGGAAGUGUACCGAAUCUGUUUUUUCCCCUAUAAAUAUAAAAGCCUAUACAUAUAAAAGUCUUGGUGAAAAAAAAUGAUCCCAGCCUCCCACACAGCACAUCACACAUCUUCUCUUUUCAAAUUUGACUCCAAGGCCCACUUCCUUUGGGAAAUCAUUUAUCCAAUGGUAUCAUUUAGGAUAUUUUUGGUUGUGAGGAACAAAAGCCUAGCUCCAACAGACUUAAUAAAAGGAACUCAUUGCUUCACAAACUGAAAAACUCCAGCGGUAAAUGAAGGUUCUGUACAGUUGGUACAGGCUCUGGUCUCUGUAAUUUCCUGUUCUGCUCCCCUCUAGAUGCUGGGUUUUUUUGCCUUCAAGUUGGCUUUCUUCAUGGUGGCAAAAUGGAUCCAGCAAUUCUGUCAGAGGUUUUCGAACCAGAGCGACUCCAUCUUGAUGAAAGGCUGUGUAAAAUGAGGAUGAGACUUGCUGGACUGCAUUCCAGGAGGGUAGGCAUUCUUAGUCACAGGGUGAGACAGGAGGCCAGCAGGACUGAUAUCACAAGAUACAGAUCACAAAGACCCUGCUGAUAAAACAGGAUGCAAUAAAGAAGCCAGCCAAAACCCACCAGAACCAAGAUGGUGAUUAAUGUGACCCCUGGUCAUCCUCACUGCUCAUUAUAUGCUAAUUGUAAUGCAUUACUGUGGUAAAAGACACUUCCGCUAAUGCCAUGACAGCUUACAAAUGCCACGGCAAUGUCCAGAAGUUACCCUACAUGGUCUAAAAGGAGACCCUAUAUAGUCUAAAAGAACUGAGGGUUCUGAGAAAUCCCUGACCCUUUCCUGGAAAAUUUAUGAAUAAUCCACCCCUUGUUUAGCAUACAAUUAAGAAAUAACCAUAGUGUACUCAGUCAAGCAGCCCCUGCUGCUGCUCUGCCUAUGGAGUAGCCAUUCUUUUGUUCUUUACUUUCUUAAUAAACUUGCUUUCACUUUACUUUA